rnacentral:rRNA from 1 species
AUUGAACGCUGGCGGCAGGCCUAACACAUGCAAGUCGAGCGGAUGAGUGGAGCUUGCUCCAUGAUUCAGCGGCGGACGGGUGAGUAAUGCCUAGGAAUCUGCCUGGUAGUGGGGGACAACGUUUCGAAAGGAACGCUAAUACCGCAUACGUCCUACGGGAGAAAGUGGGGGAUCUUCGGACCUCACGCUAUCAGAUGAGCCUAGGUCGGAUUAGCUAGUUGGUGAGGUAAAGGCUCACCAAGGCGACGAUCCGUAACUGGUCUGAGAGGACGAUCAGUCAAACUGGAACUGAGACACGGUCCAGACUACUACGGGAGGGAGCAGUGGGGAAUAUUGGACAAUGGGCGAAAGCCUGAUCCAGCCAUGCCGCGUGUGUGAAGAAGGUCUUCGGAUUGUAAAGCACUUUAAGUUGGGAGGAAGGGCAGUAAGUUAAUACCUUGCUGUUUUGACGUUACCAACAGAAUAAGCACUGGCUAACUUCGUGCCAGCCGCCGCGGUAACAC